UUUCUUUUUGGCUUCUUCUUUUCUCUCUUCUUAGCUUAUUACUUCAUCUUCAAAUCUCUUUUUUCCCACAUCACCAAGUCACAUCCAUUGUCCAGUAGCAAAAUAACCUCCAAUACAACCCAUAAAUCAAUAAAAUAGUCAUCUAAAUCACCCUGAAACAACCCUUCUAAAACAACAAACACAACCACUGACAACCUCUUCAUUUCAACCCAACCACGACCACCACUAAACCAGCAACAUCAUCCAAUACCCACCACCACUGAAACAACAAAAGAAAAGCACCAAUAAUAAGGACAACCAACAUCAAAACAAAAUGCAACAGCAACAAUUAAUAGCAACCAGCGACGACAAGCAAAAAAUAACAGCAACAACAUCUAAUAUAAACUAACGAUAGAAAAGUCAAUAUAGUAGCACUAGCGGCAAUAAUAUAAAAGUCAGCUAGAGCAAUAUCACAACAACACCACCACAUCAACCACAACAACAAAAAUAGCAGUAACAAACAUCCUAAAUUUCAUUAUCCAAGUGGUCUCAUACUCGCCUUAAGCAUCUUGAUUAGUAAAUCAAUCAACACUUUGAUUUGUUGAAUUUUAUGUCUUGUAAUGCACUUGUUAUUCAACAUUGUCAUUAAUAGUAACUUUAUGCUAGAAAUUAAGAGAAAAAAAACUCAUCUUGCUUCACUCAUUAUAUUUUUUUUCCCCAUCACCCAACUUUGUCAUCCAUAUUUAACAAUUAGACCUUUUUAUUAAUUGUGAAACUUGCCUAUGCUUAUGAAAAGUUGUAACUUUUUGUUUGAUUAACUAUUUAUACUUAAAAGGUAUAACAUUGCAUACUUACAAUUUUCCUCGUGUAUUACAGUCUUAAGCAAUCUCCUCUAAGAAAAUGAGGAUCUACUUUAUUUUUAUAUGGGGUUUUAUUUGCAAGAUUUGUUGGAGUCUUAAUUAUAUCUUUAAGCUAGUAAUGCAUGCAUUUGCAUAAUAGUUGUAUAAUGUCCAACCGUGAGUUUACAUCUACCAUGGACCCGACCCUAAGUGACGCACUUAGAACCAUUUAAGAGCAACUACAACUUAUGCAAGCCAAGAUGACCAACAUUUAUAAGAGUUAGUCAAUAUAGAUUUCCCAAACAAGAUAACCAAAUGAUAGUGAAAAUUCCAACAAUAAAUAUUGUAUGCAUAUUCACCAUAGACACCAUCAAUAUAACCACAAUUAAAGUCACUCGAACCAUGAUAACCUUAAUGAGUGAGUUAUAGAGUGCAUCAAAGUAGAGGCCCCUAAUUUUGACGUUCGUCUUGACCCUUAGACUUUUACUAGGUGGAUUUGUGACAAAACACUUUUUUAAUUGAUACACUUUGUUUGAAAAUAAAAAUAUUAGAUUUUCUAAAAUAAAGUUUAGUGGUGUUGCUCAACUUUACUAUAAGAGUAUUAAGGACUAUAUGGAGAAAAUGGGUGAACCUCUUGUCGCUAAUUAGGUUGAGAUAAAACAAAAAUUACAGGAAAAUUACCUACCUCGAUCUUAUAGAGGUAAUCUUUUAUACCAAUAAAAUAAUUUUAGGUAAGAGAACAAGUAUGUUAGUGAAUAUGUAGCACAAUUUAAUGAGUACAAGAUGAGAUUUGUUGCUAGAGAGAAUGAGGUCGCGACUUUGAGUAAGUUUUGUUGGGUCUUCAAUGAUAAUCUUAGAAAAAAGGUUGUGCUCCAAGGUGUUCUACUAUUAACCAAAGUUAUACCUUAGUGCAAGAUUAUAAGACAGUUACAAAGAUCUUAUGGAUGACCAUCAAGACCCCCAUAACACCCUUAAAAGGUUUUAGUUUAGGAACAAUGGUUUCUUAUUAGGUACUCCACCCUUUAUAACCAACCCUGGUGAUGCCUCGCCUUAUAAGAAAGACAAGGGCAAGAAAGUGCUCGUUGAAGUGUCUAAAAUGAGUUCAGGGUUCAAUAUUUAAGAUGUGAAGGUUUUUGGUCAAGUUGUAGCCAAUUAUACCAAUACAACCCUGGUCAUCUAGGAGCAAGAGGAUAUUAGAGAAAGACUUUGGUGAUCAAGUGUAUAAACUCGAUAUUGAGGAUUUUCAUGAUCUAAACAAGUAUGAGUAUGGUCUUAAUUUACCAGGUCAUGUCCAAUCCAUAUUCAUUCUAGUUAAGUAACACAUCAUAGAGUUUGGUAUAGCUAGGAUGGGUGUGGUCAAAUGUACCCUGACACAACCCAAUAGAAUCGAAGAUCGGAAGGCUAUUAUUUUUCACACCUACAUUAAGUGUGAGGAUAAGAGAUGUAAGAUCAUCAUUGGUAGUAGGAAUUGUACCAAUGAUGUUUCUUCUAAUAUUGUAGCUUGCGUAGAACUCAAGUUUAUUCCUCACCACAUGUCAUAAAAUGUUUCAUGGGUUGAUAACACCUUCAUAUCAAUUAAAAAGAAAUGUUUGUUUCUUAUCAAAUUCUUAGACCACAAUGAAAUCUUGAAUCUUUUUUCCAAUAUGGUUCAUUUCAUUUCUUGUACCAAGAAUAAAGAUACCUAUAGAGUUCCUAAAUUCUAUUUUAAUGAGAUCAUCAAGUUGUAUGGCCUUUCCAAAACCAGUUUUAUAAAGAGAUGUUCAAUUAUAAGUUACUUUUUCCCUUUGAAAUAUGGUUGGUACCAAGUUGAAAUUCUUUAAAGUUUAUCACCCCUAUACAAAUAGCCAAACUAAGAUAAUCAAUCAAAACUUAGGCAACCCUUAGAGAUGUAUGGCGAGUGACCAUAAUAAAAACUAGGAUUUGGUUCUCCUUAUGAUCUAGUUUCCAUACAAUGUCAACAGGUUUAUAGGCAUUAAUCCAUUUAAAGUUGUUCAUGGUUACAAACUUAGAAAACUUAUAAAUCUUCAUGUGUCUCUUUGAGCUACGGUAUCCAAGUCAGCUAAGUCUUUUGCACAUUAAGCUUUACAUGUUGAGAUAAUAAAAUGAAUUAAAACAAAUAGUGGGCAAUACAAAUAGUGGGCAAUACAAACUUCAAGCUUACUUGCAUAAAUAUUACAAUGCAUUUAAUAUUGGAAAUUAUGUCAUGAUAUGAAUUAGACCUAACAGUAUUCUCUUGGAACCAAUAAAAAAUUGCAUAGUGUUGGACCAUUCAAAGUGUUACAGAGGGUGGAAUCAAAUGUUUAUGUCAAACCUACUACAUAACUUUGAUAUUAGCUCUAUUUUUAACAUAAAAGAUUUGGUUAUAUAUAAAAGACAAUAACUAAUCCUAGAUGAUCUUUUUGAGACCCCUGUCCCAUUAUCAUUUUCAUCAACAUUAAAGGGAUAUAUUUUGGAUAAAGAAGUUUUUACUAAGAAUGGUGAAAUUCAGUGAUAUAAUUCAUUGUUAGGGCUGCAUGAUUUGAACUGUACUUUAAUUAUUAAAGAUACAUUACAAAAAAUUUAUUCUGAUCCUACUAGUAUUAUCCGAGCUGCUAGAAGCUACAUUUGACAAGGUCAAGUUUUUUCAAUCCCGAAGGAGAUGGUGUAAACACUAGACUCAAGCGAUAAAUCACGUUUGCAUAGUUGGAGAUGACAUAGAAUAGGCCAACUCAUCACUCUUUGAUUAACUACAUCCAAGUUUAUUUUAUUGGACUUUUAUUUCAUUUAUCAUUGAGCUUGGACCCCGUUUGUUUCAUGGAAAACAGUUUCAUAAAAACCACUUUUUAAUUUUUUUCAUGUUUAUUUAUCAUUAGAAAAGUUGGUCAAUUUUUUUCUCAAUUUCAUUCUCCUUCAACUUUUUCAAGUCAGUUUUUGUCUAUAUUUUUUAAUAAACUUGAAAAAAAAAACAUUAAUAAAUUAUUUUUCAAUUUAUUUUCCAUGACAUAGUCAAAUAUUGAAAAGUGCUUUCCAACUUAUUUUUUAUGAUAGGGUUAAACAUUGAAAAAUAAUCCACUUUUCAUGGAAACUACAUUUUAGAAGAAAAAAAAACUAUUUUCCAACAAACAAACAACCUUAAUUUGAUCAUAAUUUAGAUUUCAUCUUAUUUUAAUGGUCUUGACCCAAUUGUUGUUGUAAGUGUUUUGGAUAGGAUUUGCUAUUUAGAUAUAUUUUUUCUAGUGGACAUACAACUUUGAUGAUUGAUUAAAGAAAUUGCAGACAUACCUUCUCUUCUCUUUUCUCUACUUCUUCUCUACUUCUUCUCUUUUUCAAUUCACUAUUGUCCUACAUCAGAGUAAGAAUAUCCCUUGGAAGUUGCAUGAUUGGAGUGUUGUCCUUGUACGACCGCGAUGGCUUCCUGCAUAAAAAGAUGGUAAGAGCAACUGAAUGGAUCUCUACCAUUUAUCUGUGGAAACCAAGACUAAAUAAGCUUGAAGCAACUCUGGUUAGGCAUAUAACAAAAGGAAGAGAAGGGCCGUGGUCAUUUCAAAUAGACAACCUUGGAGAAAUGGUGUACAGCUGAAGCCACACAUUGAGACGGGCAUUGAUGGUGAAGAAAUGCUAGUAACACUUGAGUAACUAAUUUGAGUUUCAGUUAAGCUUUGUGUGUCUGGGUGUACAUGAGCAAGGACAAAUAUUGUAGCAAACCACAUCUUCAUAAAGCCUAAGCUUGUUUGAAAAGUCCUCUAUCAUCUUAAACCUGUACGUUUAUCCAUGCAUCAAUGAAGACUAAUAUAGACUUGAAUUCUGAGGGGCAUUUUUCCAUUUAGAACUUCCAGUUCGGAUUUUCUUGCACAGUAACAAAUGCUGAGAUGAGAAACAAACAUCAUGACGACAUCCCUUAACAGUAAUUUAUUCUACUAUCAGUUACUUGAUCUGGCUUUAAAAGACAGCCAGUCAUUUCCUAAAUCUGUUAAUUAGUUAUGCAAAAAAGCACACAGGAAUGGAUAUAGGUUUACCUUGGUCAUGUAAACUGGAGGGUGAAUUCGUUGGGCUGUGAAAGAUGGCACCCUAGCCUUGCAUUCCAGGUACGAAUAUAACUGCAGAGAAAAUUCUAGCCAGACCACUAAUCGUUGCAGGAUUCCAAGCAAAUGGUCAUCCAUUCUAAAAUUACUAAUUGGGAUCAUUUCUUGGUGCAACGGUAAAAGCAUUGACCUGCUGGGUUUCAGCACAAUUUUAUAUCUCUAUAAACAGAUAAAAUCUGCAAACAAAGAAUUCUAAUGAAAGAACAAAAGCGAAG
rnacentral:lncRNA from 1 species